AUAUAUAUAUAUAUACACUGUAUACUCGGGAUGGUAUGCGUUCUGGGUAUCAAAAAGCGUGGAUCGAGCUCGGUUUACUUUCCGCACGAUAAGGUAACUGUGACUCAUUGUCGAAUAAGAGGAGAGCUGUUCCUAAGGAUAAGGAAUUAAUUGUCGAUUUGGACGCUUCAAAGAUUGUGAUCUUUUCUAUAAUCGAGACUCUAUAUAUUCCAAGUUUCGCUUGAAAAUUUACGACACUAUAUCGUAGUUUAUAUUCGAUUAAUUAAAUUAAUCGUUAGUUUGUUACUGAAAUAGAGGAAGAAAAAUAACUCGUAUUUCAACACGAAUUGCUAAUAAUUUUUCUCUUCGAAAAGAUUCGACGCUUUUUCGAGGUGGCGAAUUAUUAAUAAAAGAAAGAAAAGGACAAGUCUGACAAAAGCGAACGAGAACUUUUAUUCGCAGGGAAAAUAAACGGAAGGUCUCCCGCAAAGGUUUUCGCCUCCAGUGAAAAUAUUCCUGGAGGGAAAUUCAAGUGGAGUGUUCGAAUUUCCGCGCGCCCUGUUACUGAUACAGACACGAGCCGAGAGAGAGAGAGAGAGAUCUUUCUAACCCGGAAGAAACUAAUUUGCCGGGGUUUAACAUCGGCUUACACACCGUGGUGAAACUUUCUCCUCGACGAUAGCUCGAUUCACGUAAUCGUUACGAUCAACUAGAAUACGCGCAUCCUAAUGCAUUACCGGUAAACUCGAUGGGAAAUUUGAACUGUGACCGAUAGAUUUCAAUUCGAUACACACGUGGCAAUAGCGCAGUGUGCGGCAUUACAUAUUCAUGCGGUUGCAACGAUUGCGUCGCGGACGGCAUUGCGCAAGCAUCGGAUCAGAAAGUAAGGUUUAAACGGGCCGAUGUUCAUUCCUAUGGAGACAGGUUGCACGGAGCCGUUUGAUGAAAGCAGGAGCGAGAGAUUGUCCGUAUCCGGCUGAUAUGCGCGCCGCCUGUCCUUGAAAACAGACUUUCGAGUUCAAGGCUUUCUCUCGGGGAACAUUCGUAUCGGAGUACACGAAAUUCCAACUUGUAUAUUUCAACGUUGCAGGAAACUCGUGAUUUAGCAACGAGUGCACGAAAGUUCUCUCGAAAUAUUGAAGAAACUCGGAUGUUUCAAAGGUAAAAAGGUUUCCAGGGUGAAAAGCGCAUAUAUCAAAGAGAUGAAACGUUUUAUGGAAAUUUAAGAUUUCUCCUUGAAAACGAUCUCUCCGGUAGAAAUUAUUGCUAGAUAUAAGACCUAGUUUCUAUAGAAUAAACAGUGGCACGUUGCUUUGAUCGCGCUGUAAUUCAUGGAUGGUGAUGAAUCGCUACUCUUGAUGAUGAAAGAAACAGAUAAAUCUCCCCUCGAAACUAUAAAACUUUAUCUGAAAGGGUGUAUCUCAAUGGGAGAAAGAAAUAAAAAUUGAAAUACCGUUAAAAAAUUACGAAAAGUACAUCACGCUUAUCCGUAUCAAGAAUCAUAUUCGAAAAGCAUGGAAAAAGAUCAGUUUACGAGAUACGUAAGAAAUAUUAAUCUUAGAGAUGAUUAAAUAUCGUCUCAUCGGGUCGGAAGUUAUUCAUCUUCCCAGAAAAACAAAUCAAUCGUGCGUAUUUGGAGGUCGACGAAAUCGAGCAACGUGCGCCUCUAGCCCUUAUACGAGAUGGCAGAGUUGAAAUUGAUCUCGGCGGAGGCGCCACUCUAAAUGGAGAGUAACGGCCAUGCUGGACUUACGGCUUCCUCUGCCUCUUCCUUUAAACCGUCCGCUAUCCUUUCUAGCGAACCUGUAUCUAACCGAACGCCGCAUAAGGAUUCAGGCCAGACCUGGCCAUAAAUCGAGGAUAACGACUGCACGGUGUACGCGCGGCGAAUACCGCCAUUAAAUGGCAAGAGAGCGCGCGAGCUGGCUCGUGUUCCGCAAUUAUUUCGUCGAAGGACGACCGCUUCUGGGUUCCCCGGGGGUCCUCGUUCCAUGUGCGCUCAUGUGUGCGAUUCUGUGAUCGUAUACGCCCGCGCGCAUGCGCAUUCUCUCCCCCUCUCUCCGCAACCCAGGGACGUAUUUCGAGUUUCCGACGAAAAGAGAAAAAAUUUUAUAAGAUUCCUAUCCUAAUCGAAUCGGCCUUGAAAGUUAAUGUCUUUAUAAGAAAUUGGCCGACUAAUGAACCUACCACGGAAUGCUGGAUAAUUGUUUUCGCAAUUCGAUGCAACUUGCCUCGUGAAUCGAGCUCAAUGUUUAAUGAACGCAACGAACGAGUUUGGUCCGAAUUGGAGCAAUGAUUCAGGCUUGUGUGAAAAUUUAAUACUUGUUACAUUCGCUGCUCAAAUUGGAACAAUCAUCGGAGAAAUUAAUAUAUAUUUAAAUAUAAAUUCGUUGUUAAAUAUUCGAGAUGAGAAGGAAAACGAUUUUUAAUAUUUGAAGUUUCUUUUCUAUCAUCGGAAUUUAAACGGGUCAACUCAAAAAGGCGACCAUUCUUCCCGUGUUUAAAUUCCAAACACCACCUGCUGCUCUUCCCGUUUCCUUGCUCGUGGGAGAAGUUAGAGAGAGUGGAAGGGGAAAGAUAUAGUGUGUAUGUGUGUGUGUGCGCGUGUGUUGAUUUCACUUCGAGUCCCCGGGGGCUGUUUUUAUUUCGUGCUUCACCGGGCACGUGAUCUUAAUUCGAGCUCAAAGCUCUCCGGGUUAAUUUGGUAACAAUCGAAAGUUGAUCGAAUGCGAUUAAAGUCAACGGAUUGUUUGCAUCGAAAUAUGCGACAAAACACGAGACACGUAAUAUCGAUACGUUCUACGUGCAACACUUACUUUAAACGACACGAAAAUGGAAGUGCGAUCAUCGAUUAUCUAUGAAAUACUAAUACAUUGAAAUUAAAAUGCACGUGAAGAUAUUUGAUGAAAAAAUAUGAAUUUACUGGUCGAGGUUAUAUCGACGAUAAAGAUUCGAUAAUUGCCGAAAACAAUUAUGGCGGAUGCUUUUUUACAACAACUUGUCACUUGUUUCUUUGCCACCGUUUCUUCAAAGGUUUCGACUUUAAUAGGAUCGAAAUUAGCAUUUAAAAGUUUACAUAGCACGUUACCUGAGAAUCCAGACGUGGGUUUCAAGUCGGAAGUAAUCCUUUUUACUUGUAAUAAUCAUCACGUUACAAAAUACAGUUGUUUCCACUUAGCACAAUCUCGACCAUAUCGAUACACGUUUAUUACCAAUUCACGCGACAUUUGUUCGAACAUACACCAAUCGACGCGAAUGUACUCGAUAAAAUUCGCCAAUAAUUGUUUAUUUCGAUUAAUUAUUGCCAAUAAAAAUGACUUUAUCAAUAACGAAACGAGCGCACACACCACACAACGAUUUCGAUUUUCGAGAAACUCCAGACAGAAGGUUCGCGCGUGGCUACGAACGAUCACGAAGAUUUCCGAAGAUUAACGAGUAGCCGCGAAUACGGCCGAAUGUUUCCGAAGAAAUUUACACGAUUUGCAUCGCCAUGCACAGUCUUGAAAUUCGUAUAUUUAAGCAAAUUCUUUAACGCGAUGUUUCACCAGUUAAGUUUACGUUUCGCGUCUGCCUUUCAUCGUUACAUUGUAUGAAUCUUUCCUUUCCGAUUUUCUGUUAUUAUACAAAGUAUACAAGUUGUCCAAACAA